rnacentral:rRNA from 1 species
AAGCGUUUACGGCCAGACCUUUUCCUAGCGGAUCAUCUAGUGUUCUCACUGGUGCACUUCGUUAGGUUUAGGCCAGCAUCGGCUUCUGUAGAGGGAUAAAAGCAGUGGGAAAGUAGCUCUCUCGGGAGUGUUAUAGCCCUAAGCAUAAUACCUUUACGGGGGCCGAGGACCGCGCUUUUGCAAGGAUGCUGGCGUAAUGGUCGUCAACGA